CGGGGUAUGGCGCAGCCUGGUAGCGCGCUGGCAUGGGGGGCCAGAGGUCGCCGGUUCAAAUCCGGCUACCCCGACCA
rnacentral:tRNA from 1 species